GAUACGUUCGUUGGGUAGGGGAGCGUUCUGUAAGCCUGUGAAGGUGGCCUGUGAGGGUUGCUGGAGGUAUCAGAAGUGCGAAUGCUGACAUAAGUAACGAUAAAGCGGGUGAAAAGCCCGCUCGCCGGAAGACCAAGGGUUCCUGUCCAACGUUAAUCGGGGCAGGGUGAGUCGACCCCUAAGGCGAGGCCGAAAGGCGUAGUCGAUGGGAAACGGGUUAAUAUUCCCGUACUUGGUGUUACUGCGAAGGGGGGACGGAGAAGGCUAUGUUGGCCGGGCGACGGUUGUCCCGGUUUAAGCGUGUAGGUGUGUGUUCCAGGUAAAUCCGGUUCACUUUAACACUGAGGCGUGAUGACGAGGCACUACGGUGCUGAAGCAACAAAUGCCCUGCUUCCAGGAAAAGCCUCUAAGCAUCAGGUAACAUCAAAUCGUACCCCAAACCGACACAGGUGGUCAGGUAGAGAAUACCAAGGCGCUUGAGAGAACUCGGGUGAAGGAACUAGGCAAAAUGGUGCCGUAACUUCGGGAGAAGGCACGCUGACACGUAGGUGAAGUGAUUUACUCAUGGAGCUGAAGUCAGUCGAAGAUACCAGCUGGCUGCAACUGUUUAUUAAAAACACAGCACUGUGCAAACACGAAAGUGGACGUAUACGGUGUGACGCCUGCCCGGUGCCGGAAGGUUAAUUGAUGGGGUCAGCGCAAGCGAAGCUCCUGAUCGAAGCCCCGGUAAACGGCGGCCGUAACUAUAACGGUCCUAAGGUAGCGAAAUUCCUUGUCGGGUAAGUUCCGACCUGCACGAAUGGCGUAAUGAUGGCCAGGCUGUCUCCACCCGAGACUCAGUGAAAUUGAACUCGCUGUGAAGAUGCAGUGUACCCGCGGCAAGACGGAAAGACCCCGUGAACCUUUACUAUAGCUUGACACUGAACAUUGAGCCUUGAUGUGUAG
rnacentral:rRNA from 1 species